rnacentral:pre_miRNA from 1 species
AAUAAACCAAUUUUUCACUUUUUACCUUUAAUUUUUAACUCUUCGUCUUAUUCAAAUUUUUUAUGAUUGGUAUUUUUGUUUUUAUUAAAUGAUAAAUUAUGAAUAGUACUUUACGUGUGACUAUUUUUUUUAAUUUUCUAAAUUUUUUUUAAAUAAGACGGAUGGUCAAACGUUAGACACGGAAACCGGAGAAUUCGUUUUUU